rnacentral:rRNA from 1 species
UCUGACCUCGAAUCAGGUGGGACUACCCGCUGAACUU